CAUAUUUAGCACGACUGGCUAG
rnacentral:miRNA from 1 species